CGGGAGGAGAUGAGUCGUUCCUUCUUAUUUCUCCGCACUACAAUUCAAGGGUUUUCGAAGAGUCGAAAUUCAAGAAGCGUGGACUGGAGUGGACACGACACGACUGUGGCUGUUGUGCUUUGGGUAAGCGAAGAGUGGGGAUGACGCGAAAGAAGAGGAGGGGAGAGCUGUCAUAAUUUAGUGCUACCACGAUAUGCGGCGAGUAUGAAAAAAAAGAUUCUCUCAUUUUCCUUGGGAGUGCAAAGCUCAAGGGCCAAGAAAGAGAAAAAAGUGCCGAUGAGGCUCGCUAAACGAUCCGUGGAUGUAUCAAACAAACGAGAAAAAAGUUUGUUGUCGUGUUUUAAUGUGUACCUAAACGGAGGCCAGCGCCAUAGUGACGUGCGGUGGGAAACCGAAGGAAUCAUUGUGAAUAUAGGUUGGUGAGUGAGUGAGAGAGAGAGAGAGAGAGAGAGAGAGAGAAAGAGAAAAGAGGAGGAAACUUCUCUUCGUGCAGUGCAAAAGCGAGUCGAUAGAUUGCGGAACGAGCGAACUCGAAUUUUUCGCUCGUAAACCAACACAAGAUAUAGUGCGUGUGUGCGUAUUUUUUUCUUAUUCUAACCUCCUAUAGCCCUCUUGUCCCCUUCCCGCACGCCGCUCUCCUCGUGACUUUUCAUGCUGAAAGUUGAAAAUCAGUGUUUCGCGUGCGUCCGCCGAUGGGCGAACGAUGGAUUUUAAAUGAUAAAUAAACGUUCGCGUAGUUGGUCGCUCUUGCGCGCCUCUCGAGUGUUCCGUGAACAGGAUUUGUUUUUUUUUAACGCCUGAAUCCUUGCGUCGUAACGAAUCUUAACGUACGCGUAAAAAAAUCGUUAUAAAAGUGCGGUGGACCGAUGUUGUAACUACGAUAGGGGCCAAAAUGGAAGAGCAAAGCGUUCACAGCAGUAUCAGCGAUAUAAAUAGUGAGGAGACGGUCAAGACAGAGCCAGCCAGGAUACCUCGGAAAAAACGGAUAUGCUUGGUCGGUCCAACCUGUGAUGAUGCAGCCCUCGGUGCCGCUGCUCAACAGUUCAGCGUUCCCGUUCUCAAGUCCAAUUGCGGCUCCGAAUACAUCGAGGACACCACGUACUGCACAUAUUUUAUACUUAAUCAGUUCGAGGGACCGGAGUACGAUGCGCUUCACAAAAGUGCCCACAGAAUAUUGGGACCAACGGCGUUGCUGCAGUUGGCGGAGAAAAAAGAGUCCUUGCCGAGUAUUUCACGUCCGCUGUACACUCAAGCCAUGCUCGGAACAGUGGUCGUGUUUACCGGCUUUAGGAAAAAGGAUGAAUUGACGAAACUCAUCAAUAUGAUCCACAGUAUGGGCGGUAGCAUUAGGAAGGAAAUGGGCGUGAAAGUUACACAUCUAAUUGCGAAUUGUUGCGGCGGGGAAAAGUACAAGUACGCCGUCACAUUUCGGGUUCCUAUUAUGUCCAUGAAUUGGGUCACUGCCUUGUGGGACAGAAAAUACGACACAAAGAGUUUUGGGAACAAUGAGGAACUGGUCGCAAAUUUUAAGCUCAAGCCUUUCGUCGGUGCCAAAGUCUGCUUCUUCGGUUUUCCUGAGGAUGAGAAGAAACACAUGUGCGAAGUUUUGCAGCAACAGGGCGGUGAACCUACUGAAAUUGACGACCCGAAUUGCACGCACGUGGUUACGGAUAUGGGAAAUCGACGAUGCAGGAUUGCCGACACGCAAACAAACAAAUUUUCAUAUUUCAAGCGCACAUCGGGCGAAUCAAGACUGGCUACUUUUAAUUUUCUUCGUAAGGAGCCAUUUUCCUUUACUUUUUACAAUCCAUACACAAACACAAUACCACGUUCGUUAAACACGUGGGAUUCUUUGAGUGGCUUGAGCAAUACAAUGAUUCGUCGAAAACGUGGUGAGAGAUCGAUCUCCAUGUAUGAAAUGCCGUCUUGGUCGGGUGGUUGCAUCAUGAACAAGGAUAAUUCAAGAGGGAAUUUGAUGGCAAAUAAUUUGAGCGAGGAUUCAGCAAUAAUGAUAGAUUGGAAUAGUUCCGGAGGUGGAACAUUGCCGGAAAAUUUGGAAACUAUGUCGGGAAAUUCGACGAGAAACGAGAGCGAAAUGGAUUCAGGAAUUGACAGUUCCAUGUCGACGGCUAUGUCUUGCGAGAUGUUCAACAGCAGCGAAAAAAUUUUAGCACGAUCGGGAACGAUUGCAAGAAAGCAAAACAACAGUGAAUUCAUUCAGGACGAGGAGAGUCGAGAAAUGGAAAUGGACAUUGACGCAUUUGUGCCGCAAGCGACGAGCGCUGAUGCGUAUAAAACUUCGGAAACAAUCGCACUGUCCAAUAAUUGGGGAAACGAGUUUAGCACCAUUUUACCACAUUGGCAGCCUCUCAAAUGUUCCAGUGCUCCGGCAGAACUGGGAUCAAAAUGUUUCAAAUUUCAAUCUGACACUCACAAUCGCAGCGUGAUCUCGUCGUCAUCUCAUAAGAAAAUAAUAAUACCGCGUCGUUACGUACGCUGGAGGAAGUCGAAAUCAUGCUUCGCCAUCCCUAAAAUCACAACACCUGAUCACUCCAAAUUUGUAAAAACUCAUUCCCAUCCAAAUUUGGAGAAAAAACAUGAUUCCUUCGUCUCCGAUCAAUUCAUCAAUGACUCGCCUCCCUUGUGCCGAAAAAGUAAUUAUUCUUCGAGCACACUCAAACUCGCAACCAACUUGUUGGCUAAAAUGAGCGAAAUCAAUUUCCCACAUACUUUCAAACAGAGCAUGCAAGUCAGUCCCGCUCGUAAGGGCCUCGAGAAAAUACCACCGAGGCAAAAAUACACACCGUUGCCCAGUCCCUUACCUGCUCGUGCAAAAAUCCCUCGAAUAGCAAAUCGCGAUGUUUCAAAAAUUAGCUCAAAUAGCAGUCUCGUCGAGGGAAGUUUCGAGGAUUUUUCUCAGUCCUGCGUCAAGCUGAGAACUCUCAACAGAGGCGAAAAUGUGAGACCGAAGCGGUUCGAGGACAAACCUCGUCUUGCGGUAGUAGACGAGUCCAACGUAAAUGCGUUACCUGACUUGGCCUCGGUUCGGGCCCACAUUGUCAAAGCCGAAUGGUUCUGGACCUCUGUACAAAAUGAAGGGGCAGCGGAUGAGAAGGAAUAUCUUUUCGAAGAUUAUCUCGAAUCCGUUUUAUCGCCGACUGCAUCAGCCAGAAGAGAUAGUCAACAGGCAGCUACGCCAACCACAGCCUCGACGAGAAGAAAACGGAAGCGGCUCGCCGAAACAUUAUCUAGUCUCGUGCAGAACGGUGCUGAUUCGCCGGCCGUGCACAAGAGACGGUCGAGCAUCAGCGACGCCGGUCACCUCAGCGUCAGCGGUAGUUUUUUGGAUUGUACAACCAGUCCGGACAAAUUAUUAGACGAUAUUCCAGAGGUUGAAGCCGUAACGACAGAAACAUCGAGAAAAAAUUUAUCACCACGACAUCAAGUAUUCCUCGAAUUGGUCCAAACUGAGUCGAAUUACGUUGGUAUACUCAGUACAAUAAUGACGCUGUUCAAAUCACCAUUGGAGGAUCUCAUAGAGACGAGUGGCGAGUUACUGAACACUACUGAAGUGAAAAAAAUUUUUGGGGAUUUUCCCCCGAUAUACGAAGUUCACAAAAAAAUGUUGGAAGAAUUGCGCUACAGCGCGGCACACUGGGCCGAGGAUGUUAGCAUAGGAAAUAUAUUUCUCAAAUAUGCGCCGGAUCUUGUCAAAGCGUAUCCACCAUACGUUAAUUUUUUCGAAAAUAUAAAAGAAAUGUUGGAUCAGUGCGAUCAGAAUAAGCCGAGGUUUCACGCUUUUCUCAAAAUCUGCCAAACCAAACCCGAGUGCGGCAGACAAAGUCUGAAAGAGUUACUGAUCAAACCGGUGCAAAGGCUACCCAGUAUUAGUUUAUUAUUAAAUGAUAUUCUUAAGCAUACAAAUAAGAAUAAUCCAGACCAUAGCGCCUUGGAACUGUCGAUCAGCAGUAUUAAGGAAGUUAUGACAUACAUAAACGAGGAUAAAAGAAAAACGGAGGGUCAAGUUGUGAUAUUCGACAUAUUUAACGAGAUUGACAACUGUCCGCCUUACUUAGUAUCGUCGCAUCGUUCUUUCAUCGGCAAAUGCGAUGUUAUGGAACUUAGCGAGAGUUUGAGCGGCCGAGGCGAUCAUCUCGUUUUGUUCUUAUUUAACGACACCCUCGAAAUAUGCAAAAAACGAUCGAAAGCUUUUAACUCGUUAAAAAGUCCUAACACAGCGAAUGGUCUUCAUUCGGCGAAACUCAGUCAAGGCAAACCUUACAAACAUAUCGCGAUGCUUUCCCUGAGUACGAUUAAAAAAGUCGUCGACAUUCGAGAAACUGACGAAUGUCAAAAAGUAUUUGCCCUGAUGGUUCGAAGUAAUCAGGAAUUCAAAGAAAAACUCUUCUCAUUCACUAUCACUGACGAGGAAGUGAACAAGACGAAUUAUUUACGGACACUGUGCAGACAAAUGGCCAAUACCGUUUGUAAAACUGACGCAGACACAUUUUUAAUAAGUCUUGAUUCACAUCAACUUGAGAUUGAUACGAGUGACGUAGCGUUAGGUACAUUGAGUAAAGCAUUUAAGAGCCUAUUUCAUAAUUUUUACCUGGAGUAUAUGGACCCGUAUGUGUUCCUACUCAAUAGCAUGUGUGAAACCACGUUACAUGUCCCACUACCAUUUGCAUCACGAACGAGAAUGAAAGUCGGACGUGCGUUCAGUUUCAACAAAACGCCGAGUAAAUUGAAGAGAGCAAUGUCGACGAUGAUGUCACCGUUCGGCUCGACCAACAGUCUAACGCCAGCGAGUCAACAGUUAGCCCAGAUGCGAUUGGCCAGUUGCAACAAUAUUAACGAGCUGGGCAACGGUGGUUCAGGCUCGCCGUCACGUGACGAGGUUCUAGUAGCUCCGAUGUCGGUCCAACCGACGAGGAAGGCAAAGUGCAGUUCCCUCAGUAUGGCUCCGCUGCGAAGGUUGUAAACCGAUCACAGAAACGUCCUCACAAUCAAACAUCAUCGUCAUUCGUCACCAUCUCUGCUAACAAUUGUGCUAAAAACAACAACAACAACAACAACAAUUGAACACCACAAAAAAUCGUUUCGUUCCCUUGGCUUUUUCAUGGCUAGUUUCAUUUUUCCUCGUGUUCAAUGUUUCGUCCUACCUGUUUAUCGCUACUUUAUCAGCUCUACGUUUCCGUAGCACUCUUCAUCAAACCCUUAAUCGUGACAUCUUCUGUCUAAUUUUUCUGGUCUAUACAGGCCUUUGAUCGUUCUAAUUAUUCGUGAGACUAACAAAGUUUUGUAAGAAAGAACUCGAUGCGCUUCUUUUGUACAAAACUUGUUCUCCCUCUCGUCUGCUUACCCACAAUUUUUCUCAUUACGAUUCUUUGAUACUUAUGCUCUAACACAAGUCUACAGCCAGUCAUUUUUGUCAUCGAAAUUCCAGCCUUCUCACGAACUAUGAACAUUUUUAAUAAUGCUGAUGCGGAAAGUUUCGAGGAGACACUUCAAGUCGAAAAUAUUGAAAAAAAUGUUCCAAAAGUUUUUUCCCGUUUCACGAUCUAAAUUUGUGGUUUUCCGAAUGCUUCUAAAAGGAUUCUUCGUGUAUCAGCAUUUCAGAUAAAAUCAUUGAAAAUAUUAGACUCAAUACGAAACGUUAAAUUUUCGAACAAUGUGAGUAGAGAUAAUGAAAAAUUAUAACUCCGUAAGCAUUCGAAUGAUUUUUGCUUCCAAAUCCUUUAUAAAAAUGAUUAGCUAGGAGCGUUCCUCUAAAAGUGCUUUGAGCCACGAAAAUUCUUGACUUGUUUUUUCGCCUAAAAACAAAAAUUACAAGAAAUUAAAUAACCAGACAAGAGGGAUUUACACGAUUUUUGAAAUCGCCAUCUGUCGUUGCGCCAGUGCUCUGGUCUUUUCGACGCGUAUUUCUUGAAACAACGAUGAAACAAUGAGUUGCCUUAAUCGAAUACCGAAUCGUGCCUCAAUGUGUUCCUUUCUUAAUAAUAAAUAGACGGCGACGUUGACGAGAAGAGCACCAAGACUGUAAUUAUAAUUAUCAGGUAAAAUCGUCGACGUCACCGUUCUAAAAAUAAAAUUUCUUUGCUUAUUAUUUCUGAAAGAAAAGAAAAUAGAAUCUCAUACACUUCUAAAAAAGCUAAUUUAACGCUCUCUCUCUAUCUGCCUUCAUCGUAAAGUUUCUUCUAAUUAUUGCCAUUCAUGUAUUAACGUUAAGACUGGCGGCGAAUGCCGGUUCACAUCGCCGAAUAGUCUCAAAUUUCGCAUUAUUAUUGUACAAUCAUCAUUCAAACAAAUCGAUGUUCGUAUCGCGUAGAUAGAAGAACAAAAAUGGUUUCUUGUCUGUAAAAUAUUUCAAUAUUAAUUUUAAAUCCAUGUAUUCUAAUAAUUAUUAAUAUUGUCAUCAUUUUAUUAUUAUUAUCAUUAUCAUUAUUAUUAUUAAAAAGAACAAGAAAUAUGCUUUUGUACAAAUCGCAUCAGUGCAUUCAUUUUUUUUUGUUUCCAAGCAUUAAUCCAUUAUUAAUUUAUCAUCGAGUAGUUUCACCAUCUGUCUUCUGUGUUAAAAUUAUUCUCCAUCGAUCAGCAUCGAGGAGAAACCAGAAACCGGGAAAAUGUAUUGACUUUGCGGAUUCCAAGCUUUUGCUAUUGUAAUCCUAUUGAAGUGCGGCUUGAUUCCAUAAAUAUUUGUUUAGCCACCUGCACGAUUUGGUGUUAUUCACACGCAGAGCUCAACGAAAGGCGUUCGGGCGUAAGCCUCGUCAUGAUCGAAAAAGAAACUGUUCGGAGGAAGUGGUUCAGGACAAGGGGAAGCUCUGAGACGAGGAGCGAAUACGACAAAGCUUCACCGUGCUCCUGCGUUUUUUUUCACUUCCACACGAGGCUCGCCGAUCAAACGUCAAUUUGACUUCAAUAGACUGGAGAAAAGGAGCGAAGAGCACUCGGCCAUGUGCUGAUACGUACGAUUUUCCAAAUGAUCGUUUACACUUAUUCGUACGAUGGAAAACACGAGUCAUCGGAAACGUUAUGGGAAAUAAUAAAUGAAUUAUUAUGUCAAUUGUUUCGUAUUGUUCACGAAAUAAUUAUAUAAUAAUUAUUAAUUUUCAACGAUGCAAUAAAAAAUAUUGGUUUUUAUAGGCACAAUAUUAGUGUAGAAAUUGGAGUGCCGAUCAUACUCCAAAAAUAUCGAGAAGCAUUCUCGUUUCAAGAUUCCUCAUCGUUUUAAUAAUGUCAACAAAGUUUUCCUAUCAUCUCAAACUUCCGGCUGAUGUUAUGUAAAUUUUCUGUUCGUUUUUUUCUCUCAUCAAACCUCGAGUCAAAGUGUACACGUUAAUUCGUCCGUAACAACGUUUUAUAUAUUCGUCUUUGUAUACCAGUUUAUCCAAGUUUUGCCCUCUCGUGAAAUAGCGUUGCAUUAUUCAGCAUAGAGUUAACGAAAACUUCGUGCCAAGUGCCAUAAUUGUGCCUAUGUAUAAACGCGGGAUGAAAAUUUUCGUUAUCCCAUAAUAUAUACGAACACAAACACACUCACACUCGUAUACAUCGUCGUCAAAACGAUGAAAUAGCUUUUAAGCCUCGGCUUUAAUGCACUGCGACUCCAAAACGCAAUGCGUUUAUGUACUAUUGUACAACUUUGCCAGGCUAAAGUGGACAUUUUUACGGUGUUUUUUUUUCCCAGGAUGUAUACGAGACUUUCGACAUUUCCAAUGAUCAAUUUGCUAUUGAAUUUUAACAAAUUACCUCAAAAUCGUUACUUUUUACUUGAGAUAAUCCUCCGGAAAAUUACUGAAGAUAUUUUUCGAAAAACACCAAAAAUAUGAGAAAUUUCAAACGUUUUAAAAUGUGAGGCUGAAGAAUUAUCCUUUCAUAUUUUUCACACCUUUAUUUGAUUGAGUGUCAGAAAUCAUUUUCUGCGUGCUCCGAAGAAUUGUAAAAAAAUUUGUAUUCUAAUGAACGAUUUGAUUUCCAGUUCUACAUUUUUUUUUCUCCAUUUUUUUCAUUAUUGAUAAACUGCACAUUUUGAUGCGUUCUAUAUUUUGUGCGUGACUGUAUCUCGUAUACAUACUCAGCUUUGUGAGUGAAAACGAGAAAUUCAUAAAACUCGUAACGCACCGGAUAUGAAAAAUUAUUUAGCACCACGUGUCUUUUCCCAUUGUUCGUAUAUGAAAAGUUCGACGAACGAGCGAGCAGUAGAUAAUGUAUGGAAACGAUGACGAGUGAGGGAAAGUACAAUGAGAAAAUGUAGCGAGAACUAGUGGAUAGGAGCUUGCCAAACUUUUGAAAUUUUUUAAUGCGAAUAUUUCGUUUCUCUGGAGCAGAGAAAUGUAUGGUAUUUCGGGAGAAUUUUCAUUAUCAGAGAAACCAGUAAAUUUUUCGAUGCUUGCUGGUUUCGAAGUUCAAUUGGAUGAGAUCCACAAUGCCCGAAUGAGAUACGCGAUUAUUGCGAUUAACUCGUUCGAAGCAUACAAAUUUGCAAGUCCAACCUGCCUUAAUUGUACAAUUUUUCUAUAAAACGACCCAACAUGCCAAACAAACUUCAAAAUUUAUCUAUACACUUCGUAAAAUUUAUAUCUUUGAUUCGGGUCAACAGAAGUUUGCCACACUUUUUGAUACCAAUAAAUAAUCGUCUAUAAUGUGUGCUCAUCGAGUAAUUGGUGCUCCGUUUACAGCGAAUUGAAAAGAAAAAAAAAAAAAAAAAUUCAUUUCGUCAAGUCACUAAUUGAUAGUCUUUUUAAUCAGGGACAAUUUCAUCAACGAUUUUCGUGAAAUACCGGUACGUAAUUUGAUGAACAUCGUAAUGAGCUCUGAAAUGGCCUCGGGUAAUUCGAGCAUAUCGUUUAAAUUACAGCGAAAUGUAUGAAAUCCAAUAUUCGUAAUAGUUAAUUAUUCAAGCGAAAAAUAAAUCGAUUCACUCGGAAUUCGGUCAACGCACAUGUGCUAUGGGAAAUGCCUUAAGGCGUUCAAUCAUAAAUAAUUUCAAACAUAUCGUUAUCAACGUCUAGUUGCCGAUUCUUAUUUAAGUUCUCCACAUAGAAUGUAAUGAUCUACGUUGAUGAAAAGCUGUCCAAUUAUUGUGGUAUAAAUGUUUUUUAUAGGAUUAGUUCGUAAGUUAUAGGAAAACGAGUGCAUAUUCGAUUACGAGAUAAAGUUUCGGGUCGUACGAAUGUAAAUAGUUUUUAAUUGAGGAAAAAGUACUACAUUGAGAGAAAAAAGUUAUUGCAGCAACGAAAUGUGGCAUUAUUACAGGGUGUCAAUGAAACAUGUUUUUUCUCAGUGUACCAUUAUUUUGAAUCCCUCGCGAAAAAGUUGUGUGUAAAUUCAAAAAAAAUAAAUGAAGAAAUGUAAUAAUUGAGACUUCCAAGUGUAUCGGGAGGAAAAUCAGGAACAAAAAUGUAAGAUCCAGAGCCAGAGGAAGUUUCGUAGUGCUGCUGAUGAGUGAUUUCUGCUUUAAAAUAUUCUCUUUCGGAAUUUUUAAUACCCUUAAUUCUUUCGUCAGGGAUUCAGGAUUUCAAGUGGCUUGAUGGAUGUUUGAAAGUCAAGAUAAAAUUUAUGAGCAAUUUAGUUGAAACGUGGGAACUGCAAUCUGUGAAAAUCCACUGAGUUUCCUACUUUUUGCAGCUUCUUAUUUCUUUUCUAAUCUCUUGCAGGUAGAGAUCACGUUGUGAGAGUGUUUAAAGCGAUGGUCUUCGCGAACCGAUCGAGGUAGUACGAUCUUACCGAGUCGACAUUUAUUUAUACGAUUAAAUGGUUGUUUGAUUUUUAUAAGGACAAAAUACAUCUCCGGAAAAAGAGGAAUUUUUAGCUGCGAUAUAUCGCGAAAAUUGGUCGUAGAUUUUCGCAGAAUUUAGAACUACAUCACAUUUUCAUUCACCAAUUUAUUAACGAAUUUCUGUUUCAAAAAGCCGUUCUAUGAAUCAUCCGAAACGUUGCCAGGAACGCCAAUCCUCACUUUUUUUUCUCAUUGCAAAACAAUUCAAUACCAAACUCUGUAUUCCACGUAAAAAAAUUGUGGUUACACAACAUUUUUCACAGUUCGACGUUAUUUUUUCUUUCUAUUCCGCUGUACUUUUCAUUUGGAGAUUCGAGUGUGUACAUAAAUAAUUCCAUAGGUUGUUUCGCGAAUGGAACUUUUUGUGUUGGCAGGGAAAAGGAAUAAAAAAAUGUCUGCUUGAGCUAGUUGAGGAUUUAUGUCGUAAGGGUGAGAGAAGUGUCAGUAAUUUUCCGUUCGUGCGACUCUGUUUUUUAUUUUUUUUUUUCAAUUUUUUUCAUUUUCCUGUCAGCUUUUCGAGAGGUAUCAUUUCGUCAGAUUAUUUCAUUCGUUGUAUGACAAAAAAUGGGUUACGAGAUUGCGUUGGUUGUGCGCAUACAGCUGGGCUGUUAAACUGCUGGUACAGUACCCGAAACCGUGAAACGCAGAUCAGAGAUGAGGAAAAAAAUGAUAAUGGAAAAAAAAUCUACAAAAAGGAAUAAACAUAUCGAGCCACAAAUUUGGUAAAACUCGCACGGACGGUAUUUUACAACUGAAUCUGCAUUAUUGUAAAUAUUUUGUAGUUGUUACGGCUUCAGCUUAAAAUAAGGAAAAUAAAAAAUGUUGGAAAGCGAACGCGAGCUCGCACUUGUAGAAUAAACAAUAUAAAAUGUUUACACGAUUAGAAUAUUUUUUAAUGAAAUCGUACGAGUAUCUUGUAUCGUUAUAUAUAUUUCGAUAAACUCUACAAUGAUUAUCCAAACUAUUUAUAUAUGAAACAUAGUAAUACUGCAUUGUAUAAAUGAUUUGAAGAACCUUUAAUAUGUAAAUUCGAAAACGGC